UACGUAGGGAGCAAGCGUUGUCCGGAAUCAUUGGGCGUAAAGCGCGCGUAGGUGGCCACAUAAGUCCGUUGUGAAAGUCAAAGGCUCAACCCUUUGAAAGCCGAUGGAUACUGUGUGGCUAGAGUACGGAAGAGGCGAGUGGAAUACCUGGUGUAGAGGUGAAAUUCGUAGAUAUCAGGUGGAACACCAGUGGCGAAGGCGGCUUUCUGGACGGUAACUGACGCUGAGACGCGAAAGCGUGGGGAGCAAACAGG
rnacentral:rRNA from 1 species